AUUGAACGCUGGCGGCAUGCCUUACACAUGCAAGUCGAACGGCAGCACGGGAGCUUGCUCCUGGUGGCGAGUGGCGAACGGGUGAGUAAUGCAUCGGAACGUGCCCUGAAGUGGGGGAUAACGUAGCGAAAGUUACGCUAAUACCGCAUAUUCUGUGAGCAGGAAAGCAGGGGAUCUUCGGACCUUGCGCUUUUGGAGCGGCCGAUGUCGGAUUAGCUAGUUGGUGGGGUAAAGGCCCACCAAGGCGACGAUCCGUAGCGGGUCUGAGAGGAUGAUCCGCCACACUGGAACUGAGACACGGGUCCAGACUCCCUUACGGGAGGCAGCAGUGGGGAA
rnacentral:rRNA from 1 species